rnacentral:tRNA from 1 species
UCCCUGGUGGUCCGGUGGCUAAGACUCUACACUCCCAACGCAGGGGGCCCAGGUUCGAUCCCUAGUCAGGGAA